AGAGUUUGAUCAUGGCUCAGGACGAACGCUGGCGGCGUGCCUAAUACAUGCAAGUCGAGCGGACGAAUCGAAAGCUUGCUUUUGAUUCGUUAGCGGCGGACGGGUGAGUAACACGUGGGCAACCUGCCCUGUAGACGGGGAUAACACCGAGAAAUCGGUGCUAAUACCGGAUAACACGAAAUGUCGCAUGACGUUUCGUUGAAAGACGGCGCAAGCUGUCGCUACAGGAUGGGCCCGCGGCGCAUUAGCUAGUUGGUGAGGUAACGGCUCACCAAGGCGACGAUGCGUAGCCGACCUGAGAGGGUGAUCGGCCACACUGGGACUGAGACACGGCCCAGACUCCUACGGGAGGCAGCAGUAGGGAAUCUUCCGCAAUGGACGAAAGUCUGACGGAGCAACGCCGCGUGAGCGAAGAAGGCCUUCGGGUCGUAAAGCUCUGUUGUUAGGGAAGAACAAGUAACGCAGUAACUGGCGUUACCGUGACGGUACCUAACGAGAAAGCCACGGCUAACUACGUGCCAGCAGCCGCGGUAAUACGUAGGUGGCAAGCGUUAUCCGGAAUUAUUGGGCGUAAAGCGCGCGCAGGCGGUUCCUUAAGUCUGAUGUGAAAGCCCACGGCUCAACCGUGGAGGGUCAUUGGAAACUGGGGGGACUUGAGUGCAGAAGAGGAGAGCGGAAUUCCACGUGUAGCGGUGAAAUGCGUAGAGAUGUGGAGGAACACCAGUGGCGAAGGCGGCUCUCUGGUCUGUAACUGACGCUGAGGCGCGAAAGCGUGGGGAGCAAACAGGAUUAGAUACCCU
rnacentral:rRNA from 1 species